GACGAACGCUGGCGGCGUGCUUAACACAUGCAAGUCGAGCGAGGAGCUUGCUCCUAGCGGCGAACGGGUGAGUAACACGUGGGCAACCUGCCCCAAGCUCUGGGAUAACUCCGGGAAACCGGGGCUAAUACCGGAUACGACCUUCCUAUGCAUGUCGGAUGGUGGAAAGGUUUACUGGCUUGGGAUGGGCCCGCGGCCUAUCAGCUUGUUGGUGGGGUAAUGGCCUACCAAGGCGACGACGGGUAGCCGGCCUGAGAGGGCGACCGGCCACACUGGGACUGAGACACGGCCCAGACUCCUACGGGAGGCAGCAGUGGGGAAUAUUGCGCAAUGGGCGAAAGCCUGACGCAGCGACGCCGCGUGAGGGAUGAAUGCCUUC
rnacentral:rRNA from 1 species